UUCUCUGCAGCCACGUCAGCUGAUCGUUUCUACCGCAUCGACAAAGCUCAGGAGCACCUCCACUUUGUGACGGAGAUCUGUCAGGAUGAGGUUUUUAUCCUGGACCACGAGGGACCCGUGGUGAACCAGGCGGCGUCCACGGGGAUGCCUGAUCUGGUGGUGGAACCCACAGCAGGGGCUCCACUGACGUCUGAGGAUCAAG